rnacentral:lncRNA from 1 species
GAUCUCAUUUGACCCUUUGUAAACCUAAUUGAUAGGUAACGAAGUAUGUUGGUGAAGUCGGUUCGGCAAACCGACAAGCCGUUGUAAAGAUAUUGAAGAAACGGGCGCUCGGAGCUUCGUUUCCGCCUGGAAGGCCGAGGCGACGUCCAUAAAUCGUGAAAUCGGGUCCCGAGAACCGUUACGGCGAGGCGAAGACCGUUAGCACUUGAAACGGCGAAGCGGCGCGCUCUUGGGGAGCAAUUGUGAGGUCGGGCCCAAACGGGUGCCGAGUGCCGCGGGAGGCCGAUUGCAAGUGUCGACAAGCAAUCGGAAAAGCUAACUAAGGUGGGUUGUGCUUACCGAAGCGACUAGGUCGCCCUUUAUGUCUUAGCAAUGUAAUCUCAUGUUGAUGCAUGUGCAUGUAGACAAGACUAAAUGGUGCAUUAAUAAAUAUGCAUAAAGUAAAGGCUAAGUAAAGAAUGCAUGGUAACAACAAUGCAUAGAUAAAAAUGCUAAGUAGA